rnacentral:ncRNA from 1 species
UAGAACAUUGGAAGUAGAGACGGUUGGCAUCUCCCCUGAUAGGGACAGGAACGGCCUUCGGGCUUUCUUGUUACCGAAUACACGCGGUUAAGGCUACCCACUUCUUUGAGGUGGAUCUGACCCAAUUUUGC